rnacentral:rRNA from 1 species
GAUGAACGCUGGCGGCGUGCCUAAUACAUGCAAGUCGAGCGAACGGACGAGAAGCUUGCUUCUCUGAUGUUAGCGGCGGACGGGUGAGUAACACGUGGAUAACCUACCUAUAAGACUGGGAUAACUUCGGGAAACCGGAGCUAAUACCGGAUAAUAUUUUGAACCGCAUGGUUCAAAAGUAAAAGACGGUCUUGCUGUCACUUAUAGAUGGAUCCGCGCUGCAUUAGCUAGUUGGUAAGGUAACGGCUUACCAAGGCAACGAUGCAUAGCCGACCUGAGAGGGUGAUCGGCCACACUGGAACUGGGACACGGUCCAGACUCCUACGGGAGGCAGCAGUAGGGAAUCUUCCGCAAUGGGCGAAAGCCUGACGGAGCAACGCCGCGUGAGUGAUGAAGGUCUUCGGAUCGUAAAACUCUGUUAUUAGGGAAGAACAUAUGUGUAAGUAACUGUGCACAUCUUGACGGUACCUAAUCAGAAAGCCACGGCUAACUACGUG